rnacentral:rRNA from 1 species
AAUGAACGUUGGCGGCGUGGAUUAGGCAUGCAAGUCGUGCGAUAACCCCGCAAGGGGGGAAAGCGGCGAAAGGGAGAGUAACGCGUGGGUACCUGCCCCUUGGUCCGGAAUAGCUGCGGGAAACUGCAGGUAAUGCCGGAUAAUAUCCUCGGAUCAAAGGUGUGAUUCCGCCGAGGGAGGGGCCCGCGUUCUAUUAGCUAGUUGGUAGGGUAAUGGCCUACCAAGGCGACGAUGGAUACCGGGUGUGAGAGCAUGACCCGGCUCACUGGGACUGGGACACUGCCCAGACACCUACGGGUGGCUGCAGUCGGGAAUCUUCGGCAAUGGGCGCAAGCCUGACCGAGCGACGCCGCGUGCGGGAUGAAGGCCUUCGGGUUGUAAACCGCUGUUGUAGAGGAGGAAAUGCCAUGGGGUUCUCUCCAUGGUUUGACCUGUUCUAGGAGGAAGGACGGGCUAAGUUCGUGCCAGCAGCCGCAGUAA